GCGACGACGGGUAGCCGGCCUGAGAGGGUGACCGGCCACACUGGGACUGAGACACGGCCCAGACUCCUACGGGAGGCAGCAGUGGGGAAUAUUGCACAAUGGGCGAAAGCCUGACGCAGCGACGCCGCGUGGGGGAUGAAGGCCUUCGGGUUGUAAACCUCUUUCAGCAGGGAAGAAGCGAAAGUGACGGUACCUGCAGAAGA
rnacentral:rRNA from 1 species